AUUGAACGCUGGCGGCAUGCCUUACACAUGCAAGUCGAACGGUAGGGGGGCAACCCCUGAGAGUGGCGAACGGGUGAGUAAUGCAUCGGAACGUGCCCAGUUGUGGGGGAUAACGUAGCGAAAGCUACGCUACUACCGCAUACGACCUGAGGGUGAAAGGGGGGGAUCGCAAGACCUCUCGCAAUUGGAGCGGCCGAUGUCAGAUUAGCUAGUUGGUGGGGUAAAAGCCUACCAAGGCGACGAUCUGUAGCUGGUCUGAGAGGACGACCAGCCACACUGGGACUGAGACACGGCCCAGACUCCUACGGGAGGCAGCAGUGGGGAAUUUUGGACAAUGGACGCAAGUCUGAUCCAGCCAUGCCGCGUGCAGGAAGAAGGCCUUCGGGUUGUAAACUGCUUUUGUCAGGGAAGAAAUCCCUUGGGAUAAUACCUCGGGGGGAUGACGGUACCUGAAGAAUAAGCACCGGCUAACUACGUGCCAGCAGCCGCGGUAACAC
rnacentral:rRNA from 1 species